rnacentral:rRNA from 1 species
GGAUUAGAUACCCUGGUAGUCCACGCCGUAAACGAUGUCAACUAGCCGUUGGGAGACUUGAUUUCUUAGUGGCGCAGCUAACGCACUAAGUUGACCGCCUGGGGAGUACGGCCGCAAGGUUAAAACUCAAAUGAAUUGACGGGGGCCCGCACAAGCGGUGGAGCAUGUGGUUUAAUUCGAUGCAACGCGAAGAACCUUACCAGGCCUUGACAUCCUGAGAAUUUGGUAGAGAUACCUUAGUGCCUUCGGGAACUCAGUGACAGGUGCUGCAUGGCUGUCGUCAGCUCGUGCUG